rnacentral:lncRNA from 1 species
GAGUUAAGUCUACCCAGUGUAACCUGAUCGGCUGAGAACUUCUGAAGAAUCAAGUGAAAUAUGUCAGGUUGUUCCAGGUCCACAUGUGUAUCUUUCGCCACUGCUAAGGUCACUGAAUAAGAUAACUAAAGCACGAGGUGGUUAGUGAUCAACACGGAAUAAGGUCCUAAUUCCCACAAAGUUUUGACUGACUCAAUAAAAACUG